rnacentral:misc_RNA from 1 species
UUAAUUAUUUCUAUAUAGAGGAUUCUAUUACGAAUCAUUAAAAAUGGAAAAUAUUUAUGUAUAUAUUAUCGAGAAUUUUUUAAAGUGCUAUUUGUUACCACUGUUCUUUAGGACAUUGAGCUCCCUUUAUUAGGAUAUUAAUACUAAUGUCAAAUAAAAUUAUAUGUUGAAUAUUAGUACUAAUUUUGACUUCUUUUUUUGUUUCAGGUACGUACGUUGUUAACACUCUUUCGUAUCUAGAAAAACACGGUAUGAGCAAAGUAAUCAUUAUCGUCCCCAAUAAAUACUGUAAACAGUAAGGGAAGGGACGGCUCUACCCGGCCUACAGUUUGAGCGGCAGCGAGGGUGAGGAAAAUUCGCCAAGCCUGCGAGGUCGUACUCCCGCCUACCCUCAAAAUAAUCACCAGACCACGCAAUCACACCUGAAUCACUACAACGCCAGUCAGCAUAAACAACGUGCCUAUCAACAACAACAGCAGCAUCCCCUGUAUCAUAUGCCCAGCACUGGUGCUGGACUUAGCGACACACCAACUUCCGGUAACGCGUCCGACGAAACCCUCACCGACAGUGACCUGAUCACUGUUGCCCGUGACUCUGCUCUGCUCGUUCAUAACGCUGAAAUAAGAACGGACCUAAUCUACUGCUGUUGGUAGUGCUCGCGUUACGUCCUCGAGCGGGCGUCCUGGAGAAGAG